UGCCCAGGCUGGGGUGCAGGGGCAUGAACAUGGCUCACUGCACCCUUGACCUUCUGGGCUCAAGCGAUCCUCUUGCCUCAGGCUUCUGUUUAGCUGGGACCACAGGCGGGCACCAAAAUGCCUGGCUAAUUUUUUUGUUUUUAUUUUGGUAGACACGAGGUCUCACUUUGUUGCCCAUGCUGUUCUCAAACUUCUCGGCUUAAGUGAUCCUCCCACCUCGGCCUCCCAAAGUGCUGUGUUACAGGCAUAAGCCACCGCACCUGGUCUCUACUUCGUUCUUAACUCUUCUUCCUGACUCUGUGAUCAGCUCUUUUUCCUCACUGACAUCUCUUAUCACCAGCAGAGGCCUACCACUAGACACCAGGUCCGUAUUGGAAGCCUUGACUCUGGCCCAGACAUUUCUGCUGUACCUCAUGUAGGGGAAACCUGAGCUGAGCUGAACUGAGGCUGGGGCUGGCAGGAUGUUCAAGGUGAGCCCAGGACCUGCCACACUGUGCCAGCCUCGCCCAAGCCACCCCCCAGCCAGGACGCGGUCUUUCCUGACUCAGCAGGCUGAGGCACCUGAGGCUUUCAUUUUAAUUAUGAACCACUUCAAAGCCUUUCUGGAAGCAGUCUCUGCAGUAACCAACCUGGGUUCUCUCCUAAUGUGGGGAUUGUCCUGGAGCCCAGGCCUUCCAAGGCUCCUCCGCCCACCAACAUCACCUACCUCAUCUUCCUCUUCAGCACAUCCCCAACAUUGUCUAAGCGGUAACUCACUUGACACGGCAGCGGCACACUUGACAGCGGCAAAGCACUUGACACGGAUUCAUUCAUUUACUCCUCACAACAACCUGAUGAGGUAGGUACUAUUAUGUCCAUUUUACAGGUGGCAAAAACAAGGCCUAGAGAGGUGAAGUAACUUAUCUGUCUAAGGUUACACAGGUUGGU